CCUACGGGAGGCAGCAGUGAGGAAUAUUGGUCAAUGGACGAGAGUCUGAACCAGCCAAGUAGCGUGAAGGAUGACUGCCCUAUGGGUUGUAAACUUCUUUUAUAUGGGAAUAAAAUGUUCCACGUGUGGGAUUUUGUAUGUACCAUAUGAAUAAGGAUCGGCUAACUCCGUGCCAGCAGCCGCGGUAAUACGGAGGAUCCGAGCGUUAUCCGGAUUUAUUGGGUUUAAAGGGAGCGUAGGUGGAUUGUUAAGGCAGUUGUGAAAGUUUGCGGCUUAACCGUAAAAUUGCAGUUGAAACUGGCAGUCUUGAGUACAGUAGAGGUGGGCGGAAUUCGUGGUGUAGCGGUGAAAUGCUUAGAUAUCACGAAGAACUCCGAUUGCGAAGGCAGUUCACUGGACUGCAACUGACACUGAGGCUCGAAAGUGUGGGUAUCAAACAGGAUUAGAUACCCCAGUAGUC
rnacentral:rRNA from 1 species